GACGAACGCUGGCGGCGUGCUUAACACAUGCAAGUCGAACGGUAAGGCCCUUCGGGGUACACGAGUGGCGAACGGGUGAGUAACACGUGGGUGAUCUGCCCUGCACUUCGGGAUAAGCCUGGGAAACUGGGUCUAAUACCGGAUAGGACUCCUGGCUUCAUGGUUGGGGGUGGAAAGCUUUUGCGGUGUGGGAUGGGCCCGCAGCCUAUCAGCUUGUUGGUGGGGUAAUGGCCUACCAAGGCGACGACGGGUAGCCGGCCUGGGAGGGUGACCGGUCACACUGGGACUGGGAUCCGGCCCAGACUCCUACGGGAGGCAGCAGUGGGGAAUAUUGCACAAUGGGCGCAAGCCUGAUGCAGCGACGCCGCGUGAGGGAUGACGGCCUUCGGGUUGUAAACCUCUUUCAGCUAUGACGAAGCGCAAGUGACGGUAGUAGCAGAAGAAGGACCGGCCAACUACGUGCCAGCCGCCGCCGUAA
rnacentral:rRNA from 1 species